rnacentral:rRNA from 1 species
AACCGGAUUAGAUACCCGGGUAGUCCCAGCUGUAAACGAUGCGCGUUAGGUGUAUCGGUGACCACGAGUCACCGAGGUGCCGAAGAGAAAUCGUGAAACGUGCCGCCUGGGAAGUACGGUCGCAAGGCUGAAACUUAAAGGAAUUGGCGGGGGAGCACCACAAGGCGUGAAGCUUGCGGUUUAAUUGGAGUCAACGCCGGAAAUCUCACCGGGGGCGACAGCAGGAUGAAAGCCAGAUUAAAGGUCUUGCCAGACGAGCUGAGAGGAGGUGCAUGGCCGUCGCCAGUUCGUGCCGUGAGGUGUCCUGUUAAGUCAGGCAACGAUCGAGACCCGUAUCCCCCGUUGCUACCAGCCUUGAGCUGGGCACACUGGGAACACCGCCGUCGAUAAGACGGAGGAAGGAGCGGGCCACGGCAGGUCAGUAUGCCCCGAAUCUCCCGGGCCACACGCGAGCUGCAAUGGCAGGUACAAUGGGUUCCGACCUCGAAAGGGGAAGGCAAUCUCGAAAGCCUGCCGUAGUUGGGAUCGAGGGUUGAAACCCACCCUCGUGAACAUGGAAUCCCUAGUAAUCGCGCGUCACUAUCGCGCGGUGAAUACGUCCCUGCUCCUUGCACACACCGCCCGUCGUUGCACCCGAGCGAUUCUUGGGUGAGGCGUGGUCUUUGUUGGCUGCGUCGAAUCUGAGUUUCGUAAGGGGGCAAAAGUCGUAACAAGGUGGCCGUAGGGGAACCUGCGGCCG